rnacentral:rRNA from 1 species
AUGGCGGUGAAGGACUGCGGCGGGCACAAGGGCGGGGGCUGCGAGUGCCACCGCCGGCGGCUCUACCGCAAGUGCUGCGGCGCGCUGCUCGCCCUCGUCCUCCUCGCCCUCUUCAUCAUCCUCAUCGUCUACCUGGUGCUCCGCCCCCACAAGCCCCGCUUCUACCUGCAGGACCUGGCGGUGCUCUGCCUCAACGUCACGCCGCCCACCUCCGCCUACCUCUUCACCACCAUGCAGGCCACGGUCGCGGCGCGCAACCCCAACGACCGCGUCGGCGUCUACUACGACGAGGCGGACAUGUACGCGCAGUACAAGGGCGUCGCCAUCACCGUCCCCACCCGCCUCCCCGUCGCCUACCAGGGCCACCGCGACCAGUCCGUGUGGUCGCCGUAUCUGAGGUCCAUGGACAGCGUCGUGCUCCCGCCGCAGCUCGCCGUGGCGCUGGCGCAGGACGAGACGGCCGGGUACGUGCUGGUGGACGUGCGCGUGGACGGUCAGGUGCGCUGGAAGGUGGGCACGUGGAUCUCCGGCCACUACCACCUCCGGGUCAACUGCCCGGCGCUCAUCAGGGUGAACGAGGGCAAGGGCAGCUACGGCGCCACCACCGGCGGCGGCCCCGACUACUUCCGCUUCCAGCAGGCCGCCGCCUGCGCCGUCGACGUCUGA